rnacentral:rRNA from 1 species
CUAACUACGUGCCAGCAGCCGCGGUAAUACGUAGGGUGCGAGCGUUGUCCGGAAUUACUGGGCGUAAAGAGCUCGUAGGUGGUUUGUCGCGUCGUCUGUGAAAUUCCGGGGCUUAACUCCGGGCGUGCAGGCGAUACGGGCAUAACUUGAGUACUGUAGGGGAGACUGGAAUUCCUGGUGUAGCGGUGAAAUGCGCAGAUAUCAGGAGGAACACCGGUGGCGAAGGCGGGUCUCUGGGCAGUAACUGACGCUGAGGAGCGAAAGCAUGGGUAGCGAACAGGAUUAGAUACCCCUGUAGUC